rnacentral:rRNA from 1 species
CAUCGCCACGGUAAUACGUAGGUCCCGAGCGUUAUCCGGAUUUAUUGGGCGUAAAGGGCUCGCAGGCGGUUUCUUAAGUCUGAUGAGAAAGCCCCCGGCUCAACCGGGGAGGGUCAUUGGAGACUGGGAAACUUGAGUGCAGAAGAGGAGAGUGGAAUUCCACGUGUAGCGGUGAAAUGCGUAGAGAUGUGGAGGAACACCGGUGGCGAAAGCGGCUCUCUGGCUUGUAACUGACGCUGAGGCUCGAAAGCGUGGGGAGCAAACAGGAUUAGAUACCCCCGUAGUCCCUGUCUCUUAUACA